rnacentral:lncRNA from 1 species
CUGGCUCCAGACUUACUAUUGGAGAUGAGCUUCAGAGAGGAAUCCGGACACCUGGGCAUUAGUCUCCGCUGUCACCACGAGCUGUGUGACCUUGGACAAGUCACUUCAAGUCUCUGGAGUUGGUUUUCUUACUGGAGGCUACUUCUGUAUUCUCAAAGCCACCUAUGGCUUUGCAAUUUACUAGCUCUUUUUAGUUCCACUUAGCCUUUCCCGCGACACUCCACACCCGAGCGAGACCCGUCUUUUGUUCUGGGGGUGAAGGGGAGAAGGAGAGCUUCGCAAGGACCAGGCUGAGGAGGCCUUGGUACCAGCAGCUGUUCACUGGAGACUCGGGUCCCGGGAUGUCACCGGGCAACCCCACCGUGACCUUGUUCCCUCCCUGGCCCUUUUCUGGCCCGGCCUGAGUGAAGCGUCUGGGAGACGGUGGCGGGCACUGGGGCGGCGCAGAGCAGCGCCUGGAUAGCGGCCCGGACCUGGGGUGGCAGUCUGGCGGGGGUCCCUUUGGCACAGGCGUGCGCACAGCAACCUGCCUCUACCCGAGGCCACUCUGCCUCUGGAUUGGCCUGAGAGGACGCCACGGAUCACCCUUUCCCCCUCGGACACCGAUCGCGACACGCGCGCAGAGCCGCUACCUGCAGAUGGCCGUGCCCUGGACGGGUCUGGACUCGAGGUCGCCUCAUUCUAUAGUGUGGUAGAAGGGACGAUCAAUGCGGUAGACGAACAUGGGGCGAUGGAUCCUGUAUGUCUUCCUCUCUUCUCUUCAGCAUCACACUGUGCUCCACUGUCCCCAAGGACUGGUACCACUGGAUUCUCCUGUGCUCUCCUGACUCUGCCUUUACUGGAGCCAUUCCUCGGAAAAAUUCUGCACCAGAAGGACCACAGCUUAGAGGGAUGA